rnacentral:rRNA from 2 species
CUUUUAACAACGGAUCUCUUGGCUCCAGCAUCGAUGAAGAACGCAGCGAAACGCGAUAUGUAAUGUGAAUUGCAGAAUUCAGUGAAUCAUCGAAUCUUUGAACGCACAUGGCGCCUUCCAGUAUCCUGGGAGGCAUGCCUGUCCGAGCGUCGUUUCAACCC